GGCCAUUAUUCUAAAGUGGAUUUACCUGCUAAUGAGUCAAAGUGAUGAAAGUCUUGAGUCUUGACUAUUCUCAUUUUAGAUUUGAUCCCUUUUGAGACCAGCAAAAAAAUUGAAAGGAAAGGCUCACCUUUAAACAAAAGGGAAGAAUGUUGUGAUCGUUCAAAAUCCUUGUUCAUAGUCUUCUGAUUGCUCCCUCUUCAUCCCAUGGAACAAGAAGAUCUCAAAAGAU
rnacentral:misc_RNA from 1 species